AUCGGAAGGUGCGGCUGGAUCACCUCCUUUCUGGAAAACAGCAUUCAAUAUUGAACGCCCACACUUAUCGGUUGUUGGAAGAAGUCGGUGCUAACCGACAUGGGUCUGUAGCUCAGCUGGUUAGAGCACCGUCUUGAUAAGGCGGGGGUCGUUGGUUCGAGCCCAACUAGACCCACCAAAUCUUCCGAACAUAAGAUGCGAGGAUCAGUGGGGGAUUAGCUCAGCUGGGAGAGCACCUGCUUUGCAAGCAGGGGGUCGUCGGUUCGAUCCCGUCAUCCUCCACCAACCAAGAUGUCCUGCGGUAGGGCGAGAAACUAACACCAAAGCGGCUUCGCAAGAGGCCUCUUUGUUGUUGGUCCGGUAUAGACCGGGUCAAUCGGCUGUUCUUUAAAAAUUCAUAGAGUCGAAUCAGCGUUGCCGGCGGAAAGCAGGAAACUGCACCGUGCCGUCGGCAACAAAAAUUUGAUUGCGUCAAAACGAAUAUUCAAUUGAGCGAAAGCUGAUUGAAGUUCAGUAAUGACGAAUUGUUCUCUAGGUAGCAAUACCGAAGAAGAAUUCACAUUACGGCAUAACGCGCGAGGUGAAAGACCUCGCAAGUCCUUGAAAGAAAGCGGAGAUGUCUCGCAAGAGAUGUCAAAGUUAUAGGGUCAAGUGACUAAGAGCAUGU
rnacentral:tRNA from 1 species